AUGGAUGUUCCCCUUUCACACAUUCUCUCCCUUAUCCCCUUCUCCUCUAAAAGGUGUACUUGGAUUAUCCUCUUUCUAUGGGAAACAUCUACAGGUGUCUACUCCCAAGUCCAGCUUCAGCAGUCUGGACCUGAGCUAGUGAAACCUGGGGCUUCAGUAAAGAUGUCCUGCAAGGCUCCUUGUUACACCUUCACUAGCUUCAACAUAGACUGGGUGAAGCAGAGCCAUGGAAAGACCCUUGAAUGGAUUGGAUAUAUUAAUCCUGGAAAUGGUGGUACUGGCUACAAUCAAAAGUUCAAGGGCAAGGCCACACUGACUGUAGACAAAUCCUCCAGCACAGCUUACAUGCAGCUCAGUAGCCUGACAUCUGAGGACUCUGCGGUAUAUUACUGUGCUAGACAAGUGCACAGUGUUUCAACCUCAUCCUCAGUGUGUCAUAAACUCCCAAGGAGCAGGAAUCUGAAAUGA